GCUGAGGAGAGCAAAUAUGGCUGAAGGGCUGCUUAAUGAAGAUGUCCUCAAGUCAUUGGUAAAGGAGCCCUAAGGAGAUGACAGUGCUCUGGACCCACAGGAAGAACAUCCUUCAUGGUCCUUCAGGCACCCCAUGCUCACUGAAAUUUUCCCCACCUGCCAUAGUGGAAUCCCUUAGGGUUGGCAGGAUGGGUGCAAUCAGAGGAUGAUGGAGAACCAUGGAAAAGUUAAACACCAAAGGUGAUGGGAUUCCUGGUGCACUGCUGUACGCAAGUUUGUGUGGUGGUACAGGUCGGGGGAGGAAGCUGUGCUGUUGCUGCCCAAGCCAAAGGCCUGUAGCAGACAGUCUCAGGGAUUGAUUUAUUCAUCCAGCACCCUGCAGCACAACUGUGCUCCACAGGGACAAUCCCCCUGGAGAAGCCCAGAAUCAGACUUUUGAGCAUUGGUACAGAGGGUUCUCAACAGCUAGAACUCAACAGGUGUAGAACUUGUUCUUAGAGGGGAUCAGACUGCAUCCUGACCUGGCCGUCUUCAAAGCAAAAUGCAAGAUCACCUCUUUGCUAAAGCCUUUGCCAGGAACAACAGGGUCAGCAUGAGAUGGAGUUGAUGUAAUAAGAGGAAAGAAAGAAUAAGAGAAAAGAAAACGGGGCAGGUGUGACACAGAGCGUGUGGCAAAGGGUCCCUUGUUCUUUGCAAACAGGUCUCACCUUAGACCUGACAAAUGGAAUAUACCAAACACAUCUUAUAGGAUAUUUAUCCAUAACAUGUAACACAUCUACAGAAAGCUAUGUUAUCUACCCUUUCCACAUCCCAGAACAGCCAAUGGAAAACUAUCAAAGACAAUGCUAAAUGAUCAAAGCUUGGACACGAAAAAGAACCUUCCACCAGGCUACGAAUACAGCAGAUGAUGGUUCUCAGUAGAACAGAGUGUAGGGAAAGGCGCUCUGUAUUUAUUCACUAAGGAAACCGCUUGAAGAGUUGUGGGGGCUGUCCUGAAUGUUUGGAUCCUGGUUCUUAUGAAACCAGCUAAUUCUGCAACAGACUAAACUUUCUGGGGAAAACCUACUUUAUUAGCUAGGAAAGGUAACUACUUACUGGUGUAGACCCAGGUUCACGGAUUUAAGAUUUUGUUUUCUGUUGGAAACAACUGGUUACAUCACUUUCUCCAUUUCUAGAUAAAUCUUUAUUCUGUCUUAA